rnacentral:rRNA from 1 species
GACGAACGCUGGCGGCGUGCCUAAUACAUGCAAGUCGAGCGCAGGAAAUCGACGGAACCCUUCGGGGGGAAGUCGACGGAAUGAGCGGCGGACGGGUGAGUAACACGUAAAGAACCUGCCCUCAGGUCUGGGAUAACCACGAGAAAUCGGGGCUAAUACCGGAUGGGUCAUCGGACCGCAUGGUCCGAGGAUGAAAGGCGCUUCGGCGUCGCCUGGGGAUGGCUUUGCGGUGCAUUAGCUAGUUGGUGGGGUAAUGGCCCACCAAGGCGACGAUGCAUAGCCGACCUGAGAGGGUGAUCGGCCACACUGGGACUGAGACACGGCCCAGACUACUACGGGAGGCAGCAGUAGGGAAUCUUCCACAAUGGACGAAAGUCUGAUGGAGCAACGCCGCGUGAACGAUGAAGGCCUUCGGGUCGUAAAGUUCUGUUGUAAGGGAAGAACAAGUGCCGCAGGCAAUGGCGGCACCUUGACGGUACCUUGCGAGAAAGCCACGGCUAACUACGUGCCAGCCGCCGCGGUAA